rnacentral:rRNA from 1 species
UACGUAGGGUGCAAGCGUUAUCCGGAAUCACUGGGCGUAAAGCGUGCGUAGGUGGCGCGUUAAGUGAGAUGUUAAAUCGUGUGGCUCAACCAUAUCGAUGCAUCUCAUACUGGCGUGCUAGAGGACGGCAGAGGCAAGUGGAAUUGGUAGUGUAGCAGUGAAAUGCGUAGAUAUUACCAGGAACACCAAUGGCGAAGGCAGCUUGCUGGGCCACUCCUGACACUGAGGUACGAAAGCGUGGGGAGCGAACAGG